UUUCCGUAGGUGAACCUGCGGAAGGAUCAUUAAUGUGUUUGGGCCUCACGGCUCUUCAUUCCGACGCUGUGCGCCUUCGGGCUGCACGCUGAGGGAGCAUAUGUCCACCCCUGUGCACACACACGGUGGCGAGCUGGGUAACGGCUCGCCGCUGAUCUUUACACACGUCUAAAAGUCAUUGUAUGUUUAUUUGAGAUAAAAACACAACUUUCAGCAACGGAUCUCUUGGCUCUC
rnacentral:misc_RNA from 1 species